AUGUGAUUUGAUUAUUCUUACUCAUGAUGAUGAUGAUGAGUCACAAACAGCCACCCUCCUGGGAUUUUUACAUGCUUAGAGUUUAUGGAGGAUGGUGCAAUAAACAAAAGUCCUCCAUCACCAAAAACACCUUGUUAAUGAGAGAGGUCAGAGCAGAAUGGUCAGACUUGUUAAAGCUAACAGGUCAGUCACAAGUGCCGAAAUAACAGCUCAGAGCAUCAGAGGUGUGCAAAAAGGCAUCUUCAACUGCGCAACUCCUCAACUCGGAAAGGGUCUUACCAGGUACUAUGGGGGAGGUGUAUGGCACAGUGGGUUAGGAUGCUGUGAUUGUAAGGUUGCUAGUUCAAAAAAAAUAUAAAUGUACCGUAAAUGCAGGGGUACCUAAUAAAGUGAAUGCUGAGUGUAAAUUUCUUAUGUUGACUGAAUGGUGAAAAUGCUGGUUUAUAAUGGAACAAUUCAUUUUCACUUUGGAAGUCUCCUUCAAAAGUGAAAAGGCAGAGUUGGUUCAUUUUAGGGUUUUAAUUGUUUUUAAUCCAUUUCAUGAAGAGAAUAUGAUGCGUAUGCUGAAUAGUGGAUGGCAGUUGUAGAACAUACUCAUUUAUAAUUACGCAUUGACCAAUGGGGAGGUAUCACGGUUACGUUUUAAUGUCCGUCACCCGCGGCUGAAAUUUCAGACUGGGGUUUGACUGACGUUCACUCACCCACAGCGUUUGUUGAUCUCUGAGGUCAGAAAGCAGUGAGUAGGUGUGACCUUGCACGCGAGUUUUGACUACAGACUCACGCCCAGAUGUGGAAUUGACACCGUUAGCAUUGUUUGCUGAGACAUGUGAUGCCACAUCACUGUCACGCUCAGAAAAACGCUUUCUCUGAGAGAGGUUUUUUUCUUAACUUCUUUAAAGCUGCCCUACCUCUCCUCCAUACUUCAUGGCCAUGAUUGGAAGGCCAUUGGUUCAAAUCCUAUGGUUUGCAGAGUGCUUUAACCUUUGGACCCUUAAGCAAGGCCCUUAACCCCAAAAUUCUCCAGGGACUAGCUGACCCUGCCUCCUCAAUAAUGUACAUCACUUUGGAUUAAACUGUCUGCUGAAUAAAUAAAUGUAAAUGUAUGUUUUGUUUUUUUUUUUGCUGGAAACAAAAAUGUCAAUUUGACAGUGACGAUACAGAAAAGAGUAUGCUGUCAAAAACAUUCCUUCUUCAGAAUAAAGGCUGAAACCACCCAUUAACCACGAUAACCCAGCAGCACCGGUAGCAGGGAGCCAGUAUUGGUGUGAUUUAGAUGCCUUGUAGACUUUGGUAGCGUGCUCCUGCAAUGACACCGAGACAGCAGUGGCUGCGUCCUACUGAACGCCUGUCUAGCCCCUGCAGGGAGGUCCUGUUUAAUCAGGGGAUGAUCUCCAGGGAUGGCAGCACUGUGCAUUAACCCCCCAACUGAAUAAGUGGACCCAGACAUCAUCAUCAUCAUCAUCAUCAUCAUCAUCAUAGGCGCAUCGUCAUUAGCCUGUCAGGAGGCUUUACUGUUUGGAACGACUCCUUGGGGCUCCAACUACUUGCGCAUCAAUUUGUCGAUGGAGAGUGUUGAAGGACAUCUUCCCGGACAUUGCUUCACAAUCCAUUGCUCCGGCUCUUUAGGCCCAUAGCUUGACGUUGCCAGGUGUUAAGGGCAGUAAUGUGUCUUGUAUGUUUGUUUUCUGCAGGCAGAUUGAAAUGAUAGGAUUCUGAGCUGCUUCUUUCCGCUCUCCUGCCUGCCAGUUCCCUUUAAUAUCUCCUUUUUUAUCCAGUUGUUGUCACAUUUCCUUUUCCUCUCCCACUGAAGCGUUCUACUAAGAAAUGUGUGGUUUCUAAAGAUACCAGUCUGCCCUCUCACUGCCUGCUGUAAAGACCUCUUGGUAAAGACCAUGCCAUGGUAAAGACCUCUGGAGUUCUCUUCCCCUUGAAGACUUUAAUGCUCCUCUCCAACUUGAGCUCUACUCGUUGUUCAUCUUUGAUCUUCAACCAAUUGCGAGGAAUAGUCUGUAUGUGCAAAAUUCUGAAUCCUUUAAAGCCAAAAUGUGCUACUUGCAUUGCAGUUUCACUAAUAGUUGGCCUAUUUGAAUAAUUAGAGUUUUGGACAAAGAACAGAAUGGAGAACAUAUUUUAUAGAGAACAAUUGUACCACAGCUUUGAGGUUAAAUGUUUACUAGCCAACAUCAACAAUGUUUACUGCAUCAACAAAAGCUGAUUUGAUUUGCAUGAAUAUGCCUUUUAUAAAUAUGACCUUUAACAAAAAAAACCUCAGCGAUACAUAUAAUUUACUGAAGUGCUAAUGCAAAAGACUGCAUACAUCUGUAGGUAAAUUUACAUUUAAUCUUAAAUAGUUAAUGUGUUCUUUAGUGCAUAUUUUUUUUGGCUUUGGUAUUUUUUACUAUAAGGUGUCUUGUAUGGUUUAGGAAGGUAAAUUUGACAUGUAAAAUCUGACUUACGUAAGAGUUUGUGGAACUGAUUACUUACGUCAUUUGAAAUCUCCAUGUGUUGGGGGGUUGGUAUGGGGGUGGCAAGAAAGUUGGCUACAUUCCACUUGAAAUAUUCCACGUGGCCAAAAGACAUAACAACCUGUUUUUCUGAGUAUGGCCCAGUUCGUGCUCAGCUUUCUGCCAGCGAACCCCUUCCCUUCUCUCCACCAGCCAGAUUGACGGCCCCAAGCCUGCGCUCUAUUUUCACAAGCAGAGAUUAACUGCUCCCUCCCUCCCCUCUAACUCUCAGGUCUGACUGCAAUGAACUCCAAUUACCGUGCCGCCAUCUUGCCGUAAUUGGCUGAUUAUUACCCCAAGCUGAGCCUCUCCCCAUCUAAUCAGCAGUAUCUGCCAGCCAAAGGCGGUGCUUGUCGCCACUGCUGCUGCAUUGGGGUCUGCUGACCCCUGCCCAGUCCAUAGAGACUAGCUGACUACAUCCUGCUUGCUCUACCUCAAUGAGUUUUAAAUGAUCCAGCGUCCCAGACCGCGCGCCGAGUUCAGCUGCCGCCAGAGCAAUUGAAUUUUAUCUGCCCUCAGGUACAUAUCCCCUGCUUAUGGAGAUAGAACAUCAGAGGCUUGGCCCUCAAACUCACAUCACACCCUGUGUUAGAGACCCACUUCCUCCUGGAGACAUGUAAUCCAGGCAUCCCAUCCUGGUACUCCUCAGAAAAAUGGGGGGUGUUGUCAUGGCAUCAGAAUGUGAUGUAUGUGCCAUCCUGGAAAUGACCCAGGGUGCCAGUCUUUUUCUUGAUAAGUAAAAGCAGAGAGCUGGGUUUAUGAUACUGUUGGAAUCAUCCUUGCCUUUGGUAGGAUGUCCCUAGCAGAGUGCUUUCAUUAUCAAAUAAAUGGUCAGAAAAAAGGAUGGGCUAUGCCUCUGACCAGGGAUCAGAAGGUUGCUGGUUCAAAUCCUUGGGUCAGAAGCGCAUUGCCACCUUUGGGCCUGUAAGUGAGGCCCCAGAUCUCCAGUUACCCAAAGCACUGUCUGACCCUGUUUUGCGAAAUGUAUGUUGCAUUGGAUAAACAAAAAAAAUCUGUUAUUGUACAUGUCGUUCAAAUAUAUGAGGAUGAAUAUGAAAGGGCUGAAGAUGGAGUCAGAGUUUGGGUGUCUUUAUGCACUGGUGGCUUCGCACAGAUGCGAGCGUGAAUAUGCCCCUUUCUCGUUUCGUGAAUCACUGUGUAAUACAUGCCUGCUGUUUUCUAGGAAUGAGCCAUCGUGUCCUAUGAAAAAAAACCUGCACAGUUAUGUCUCAGAGGUGUCACUCACAUAUGGAUCUGCUGGUCCUUUGAAAAUAAAAAGGUAGAUUUACAGUAAAUGAUAUUAUUGGGGUAUGGUUUGUGUGUAUGUGUGUGUGUGUUUGCAUAGAUCACAUUUGGGGACAAGAAUGUCCCCAAAGUCCCGUAAAACCUGAAACUUCCUUAUUUUUGGGAACAUUUUUCAGGUCCACAUUUGGAUAAAGUUAUAAAAACCUUAUUAAAAUCAGUUCUAUCAAUAAAGUAAAAAUUCAGUUGUAUUUUGUUUGGUUUCUUAUGGUUAAGGUUAGGGCUGGGUAGGGGUUAAGGAUGUUGCAAUUGGGAUUAGGGGUUUUCCUAUAGAAAUGAAUGGAAGGUCCCCAUUUAGAUAGGUACACCAACAUUUGUGUGUGUGUGUGUGUAUUUGUUUUUUUGUCUUCUGUGGCAGCUCUGACACGUUGGGGAUUCCCUGAAGGUUUUCAGCUGUACCGUGCCUGAAAUGACGGAUCCUCCUCAGAUGAUUAUGUGGAACAUGACAUAUCAGCAUCGUCUCCGUGUUAGAUGUUUGUUUGUAAUCUCUAACUGCGGGAUGGGAAUCCCCACAAAAAGUUAUUCUUCUUAAAAUAUCGUUAUGAAACUAACUAUUAGUUAGUUCGCUCGCUUGUUUGGGGCUCUUCUUCAAAGUUUGAGCCCAGGUGCCUAUUCUACCCCGUGGAGUUCUGGCCCAGGUACCUCUCCUGUAGCAUGGGGUCCCAGUCUGGGCAUCUCUCCUGCCACACGGGGUUCCGGCCUGGGUGCUUUUUCUGCCAGGUGGGGUACGGGCCCAGGCAUCUUUGCUGUGGGAUGGGGUCCCAGAUCCAGGCACCUCUCCUUUGGUGUAGGGUUCUAGCCCAGGUGCCACUCCUUCAGGUCUUCUACCUUCCUUCCGGUCCGGGCACCUCUUUUGUCUGGUUGCCUCUCCUGCACCUCUCCCAUUCCCGCACAUGUGGCAGGUGGCCUCUGUCUGCUAGCCACAUCCUGCGAAAGCUGCCCCACGAAGUCUUUCAGACACAUAUUUAAAACUUUGUCUCUGGACUGACUGGCACACCACCAGGGACCAGAUAUAUCAAGACUGAAACUUCCAUGCUGAGAAAUGCAUCCGGGCACGGUGGGUAAUUAUUUCACAAUAAGCCCACUCGUGUAACUCUGUACCACAUGCAUUUGGAGGUGUGCAUGGAUGGAUGAUUUCCUCAUUUUCUGCUCCAUCAGCCAACCUGACGUCAGACCUGGUAAAUGUGUCAAAGUGCGGUAAGGCCAUUUAAAUGUGUUUUGAUUGAUAUUCGUGACCCUGCAGGUGACUCACUGAUGGAAAUUUUGUUGAAUGGUGAAAAUGAAGUGUGUCAGGAAGUAUUCUCUUCGUGCAAAUGUCACCAGGUGCCACCAAGAAUGUUUUGGGACUUUGCUUAAAGCGGCAGGUUUAAGAGGUAACCACCGGCCCUACUCGCCCACCAUGACGGCCACCUUUCACCGCUUCUCUUGGAAUCUCUGGGUUUUUUUGGAAAUACCGUGGGUGGCCGCAUCCUGCAUAUGUUUAACUACCCACUUAUCGUGGGCUUAAACCCAUAAGUAUGUGCUCUGCAUCUUCCGAAAAAUGGCUCCCGUUUUGCUGCUGGCCAUUUAGUCUGCAACAAGACAUCCUCACUGUUCACACAGAAGAUCAGAGCAACUUCAGCUUCUUCAAAUGAAUUUGAAAUUUCUGGAUUGAGAAGCAUGUUCAUGACAUGAGUUUUUCUGCACUGAUCGGAUGACGGUGCUCUCCACGCAGCAGUAGCGGGUCGGAAGAUGAGACCCAGUUGCCUGAUCGUGCCCUGAGUUUGUGCUUUUGGCUGUUUUCAGCCCUCAGGAGGCCAAAGGGGGUGCACGUGGUCCACAUUCCAGUGUGUAGGCCCAGCAUAAGCCCUUCUUGCACCUGCAAUCGCUGGCCAGAGCCCAAUGGUGUUUUUUUCACUCAGUUACUCAGAAAUGCACCAGGUGGAAACCGUCUCGGAGUGCUGGGGUGCCACGCCUGAUGGAAAACAAACAGAGUUGCAUUUGGUUUCUGAUAUGACUGGGGGGGAACCCCAGCCUGUGCAAAGCACUGAGUCAAUUUCUUGUUGUGUGUCAUAAUUACUCAGCCUGCAUCCGUUUAUAUAACCUUUUUUAUGGUGAGAAAUUUGCUGAUGCAUAUCAAACACGAACAUUCACUUUGGGUUGUGUAUUUUUCAUAUAUACAGUACCAGUCAAAAGUUUGGACACACCUGCUUUUAUUGCAUUGGUCCCUGUUUUAGCUGUUAUUCACCUUAUAGUAAAAGGCCUUGAGGCAAUGUGAAUGCUUUAAUACAUGUCAAAUAAUAAACAUUCAAUAUCUGAGUUUUUUU